CCAUAGGGACGAAUUGUAAUACGACAUGUGGAAGAGGUAGACCGCGUUGCUUUGUGUUGUUGUCGUAUGAUAAAAUGUUGCAUGGAAAUAGAUAGGGGGGACCAUACUGUACGUAAGAAAGUUUUGUGUACUAUAUAUAACAACCUGGGGUAGUCUUUUCUAAUGCAUAUGUGUAUAUUAGUCAUGCACAUAUCGUAAAUAUUUAAGGAUAUUAAUAAUACUGACUACGUAGAUAACCCUAGCUACGAUAACAAUUGUUAGCUUGUUUUGUUUGUUAUAACAAAACUACAAGUUACUUAAAUGUAUAUGACAGUCUAGUGGGAAGAGAUGAAAACAAUGUAGAAGAGUAAAAUACUCCCUUCAUAUAUGCCCCACCAAAUGUAUACAUAUUUGGCAUCUAAAAAUAAAAGAUAAAGAAUAAAGACACUGAUGAUGCAUUGGUAAUACCCUUAAAUCAUUAUUAUUUAGUUUUCUUUGAGACUCUUUUGAGUUUUUUGCUAUGAAGAUGCCCUUAGUCAAUGUAGUCUACUCAGAUACAUUGAUAAUGCACAUGUGUAAUUGUUCUACAAGAUUUAGAUUCUAUACAUAAACUGUGAUUAAUUAGAUACCAACCAUUCCAUUACAAUUCUUUGUUUCUUUGUUGUAACAACCACAAAUGACUUAAGUGGGAUAUAUUGCAGAAGUAUGACUAUCUAGUGAUCUGGAUAGUACUGUAAUGCAAUGAAUAAGACUUUUAGAAACCUCACUUUUACAACCAAAAGUAUACAUAGAUUUACAAGGACAUGAAAAGUGAAACAAAUUGUAUCCAUCAUUCUCUUUGUUGAAAUUAUAAAAAUUAAUGACAAAGAUUUUGGUAGAGUUAGUUCUUUAAUUACAUAGUAACGUUAGGAUCAUACUAAUUAGCCCAAAAGAUCUAAUCAUAUAGUAUUUGAUUAUUAGAGCAACAUCACUGCUAUAUCACAAACCAAAAUAAUAAUAGUAUGUUAAUAUAAUCAUCUACUAAAAUUUUAAUCUAAAGAGGAAAGAUAACCCAUUUAAUAAAAAAACAUAUAUCCAAAUGACUUUUUUUUUUGACAGCAAACAUUUACAAACUCAUAUUGAUUCUGUAAACCAAGAUGGUAACUCUGCAUCCAUAUGUAAGACGAAAGACGGUUGUUUCUGAGCACUGCGUACUAAGUUAUCCGCCUUAAGGUUCACCGUCCUAGGAACAUGAAUGAUUUCUGAGUUGAGGAAACUUCUUCUGAGAAGCUUAAUGUCUUCUAGGUAGCUUUCAAAUGCUGGCCAUUUUUCUGGUUCUGAAACCAUCUUCACCAAUUGAGAACAAUCCGUUGCAAAUGUAACCUGAAAUUGUCUUAAACUUUUCACAUUUCAUUGCCCAUAUUAAUGCCUCCAUCUCCGAAUGGAGAGGGGAGAGACAUGCCCGUACAUUCCUUGUCUUUAACAAUCCAUCAAAACCCGGGAGAGUGCUAAACCAGCCUUGCCCUGAAAACAUGUCCUUAUCCUUCCAUGAACCAUCUGUGAAACACCAUCUUCGUGCAUUCGCCUGGAUGGGUCUGGUCUCUACUUCCUGUAUCCAAAUGACUUAUCAUGAGACUAUCAGCAUUGGUGGUAUUUCACCAAAAAAACUUCUAUUAAAAACUGAAAAAAAUAAGAGAAAAAUGAGAAAAAGGAAAGAUAGUUUGAGAGACUCACAACAAAUCAUGAAAAAUACUUAUUUGUCAUUUUGUAAGUCGUCCUAAUUUUUUUUUUAAAUAAACUUUGUUAAAUUAAUAUUAAAUAUUGGGUGAAUUUAUGGACUAACCAUAUAUCGCAUGUAAAUUAAGUAACUAGCUUUGAUUUUGACGUAUUGUAAUGUCAAGUAUUUAACACAUAAUUUAUCCGGUUCUGCAUUUUUUCCAUAACAUGUUACCAGUUAUAAGUGACAUAGUACAUGACAUCGUUGGUUUUGUGGCGUUACAAAAUCGUAUGUUAGUGAGUGAUGUAUACUUACUAUUCUAUAUACGCAAAAUAAAAUAGAAUACACAAAGGAUCAUAGAAAAGGUAAAAUAGGAUAGAGAGGAUUAUACAAAUUUUGUAAUGUUUAUAUACUAACAUCGAAUUACCUACUGUUUUGUCAGAGUGAACCUAAACAAUCCAUACUAAACUCAAAUCCAUUGAUCACUAAACCCAAAACCACUGAUCACUAAACCCAAAAUAAAAAUAUAAACUCCAAUCCAAAUAUCAAAACGUGGAAAUAAUACAAUAUUCUAUUCCAUUCUACAUGGUUCACAUUGAAUAGACAAACUGUUAAAGUAGGUGAAAGUAUGAGAUGGAGACGACGUCACUAGGUGUGAGAGUACGACUUAGUCAAUGGAAUAAAUGACCAAGACUUAUUAACAAAUUUGACAAAUGAAACAAUUCCAAGAAGCCACAUAAUAAGUGUAAUUACUAAAGAUAAUUUUACUCUAUUAAGAAAAACGAGUGGUGUCAAAGUAAAAUCCAUUGCAGUUCAUGUUCCAUGCUACAUGGAGCACAUAGAAUAGAAAACUGGAAAAGUAGUUACCAAUGUGCACGAAUUAACGAGAGAUGACGUAAUCUAAACAAUCCAUACUAAAUCCAAAACCACUGAUCACUAAACCCAAAAUGAAAAUAUAAACCCCAAUCCAAAUAUCAAAACAUGAAAAUGAUACAAUAUUUUGUUCCAUUCUACAUGGUUCAAAUAGAAUAGACAAACUAUUAAAGUAGGUGAAGAUAUAUGAUGGAGACUACAUCACCAUGUGUGAGAGAGUACAAAGAGUACGACUUAAUCGAUGGAAUAAAUGACCAAGACUUAUGAAUAGAUUUGGCAUAUGAAAGAAUUCCAAGAAACCACGUAAUAAGGUGUAAUUACUAAAAAUAAUUUUACUAUGUUAAGAAAAACGAGUGGUGUCAAAGUAAAACCUGUAGUAGUUCAUAUUUCAUGCUACAUGGAGCACAUAGAUUAGAAAUUUAGAAAAGUAGUUACCAAUGUGUACGAAUUAAUGAGAGAUGAUGUCACCUUAUAGGAGACCAGAUGACAUAGCUGAUGGAAUAAAUGGCCAAAAGUAUUUCACGCGUAACUUGAUAGUAAAUGAUUAAAAAAAAAUUUUCCAGUAGGUUGCACCGGUUAACUUCAACGACAUAAAUGCAUUAUUACAUAAAAUAGAAUUUGUAUAUUGAAUAACUAGGUAUUUGGCUAUGAACCUAAUUAUGUUUUUUUCUUGGUCAUACAAUCCAAUUUCCCUUAAAUAUUUGAAAGAUUUUGGAAAAACUUUGCAUAAAUAAAGCUCUGAGUUUUCAAAAAUUUCUCAAAUGAGAAACUCUCAUUUUUAAGUUCAUUAUUUUAUAGGUGAGAAACUCAUUAGAGUCUUACUAUAAUAGACAUGACUUUAUGUAUGAAGACCAAAUAUAGCAUGAAUAAUUUCAUAAUCAGAACACUUAGUUCAAAUACUUAUCAUUUAAAAAAUCUUAGUAUUCAGUAAGCCGUAGGUAAAAGAAAAACAUUAAUAUUUGUUUAACAAAAACAAUGGCAAAGGCACUCGAACAAGAAAUAGAACAGAUCGGAGGAGUGUAUAAGAUGGUGCCCAACUGAAAUUUAUUGGAAGGUAUGGGCUACUUACUCUUAUUCACAACUGAUUAAAGCCCACUAGACUUAAAUUUAGAAGUACCGAAGUUUCAUUGCGUGAUGAAAGUUACAUACUCCAUAAUAGAAAGUAGGGUAGAUAGGAAUUAACUGAAGUUUCCAAGUGUAGAUGGUGCCUAUGAACCUACUGAAGGACUUUUCUUUGAUGUUUAUCCAAAACUAUAAAAGUAUCAUUUGAUGCGAUAGAUUUGACAAUGCACUUCUCUUAUUUCUUUAAUUUUUUUUUCAAAAAGUAACAACAACGUUAAUUAGUUGUGUUUAUGAGUGCAAACAUAUUAUUAUGAUCAGAGAAUAUUAAUCCUUCCAUUUUAUAAUAGAUGAUGUUUUUGAAGAUUUUUGUUGAUUUAAAAUAGAUGAUAUUUUAUAUUAUUUUUAACUUUAUUAAAAAUUAUGUAACCAAUUAGAUGUUGUGUUGCAAUCAUUUCUGUAAUUGGUCGAAUAAUUUUUAAAUUAUAUUUUUUUAACUACUUUUUAAAAAAAGGUAAAUAUCUUAAUUUUUGUGCACUAAAUCAAAAUAUCAUGUAUUGUGAAACGGAAGAAGUAUUAAGAAUUCACCAUAGAUUCAUGACAAUGUCAUUUACGGAUUUACCUAUAUGGCAAAAUGAUGUUACGAAGGAGUGUCUGAUAUCGGUAAAAUAUAUUUCAACACGCUUGGAUAGAAACUAAACAAAA